rnacentral:rRNA from 1 species
GCGUAAUGAUGGCCAGGCUGUCUCCACCCGAGACUCAGUGAAAUUGAACUCGCUGUGAAGAUGCAGUGUACCCGCGGCAAGACGGAAAGACCCCGUGAACCUUUACUAUAGCUUGACACUGAACAUUGAGCCUUGAUGUGUAGGAUAGGUGGGAGGCUUUGAAGUGUGGACGCCAGUCUGCAUGGAGCCGACCUUGAAAUACCACCCUUUAAUGUUUGAUGUUCUAACGUUGACCCGUAAUCCGGGUUGCGGACAGUGUCUGGUGGGUAGUUUGACUGGGGCGGUCUCCUCCUAAAGAGUAACGGAGGAGCACGAAGGUUGGCUAAUCCUGGUCGGACAUCAGGAGGUUAGUGCAAUGGCAUAAGCCAGCUUGACUGCGAGCGUGACGGCGCGAGCAGGUGCGAAAGCAGGUCAUAGUGAUCCGGUGGUUCUGAAUGGAAGGGCCAUCGCUCAACGGAUAAAAGGUACUCCGGGGAUAACAGGCUGAUACCGCCCAAGAGUUCAUAUCGACGGCGGUGUUUGGCACCUCGAUGUCGGCUCAUCACAUCCUGGGGCUGAAGUAGGUCCCAAGGGUAUGGCUGUUCGCCAUUUAAAGUGGUACGCGAGCUGGGUUUAGAACGUCGUGAGACAGUUCGGUCCCUAUCUGCCGUGGGCGCUGGAGAACUGAGGGGGGCUGCUCCUAGUACGAGAGGACCGGAGUGGACGCAUCACUGGUGUUCGGGUUGUCAUGCCAAUGGCACUGCCCGGUAGCUAAAUGCGGAAGAGAUAAGUGCUGAAAGCAUCUAAGCACGAAACUUGCCCCGAGAUGAGUUCUCCCUGACUCCUUGAGAGUCCUGAAGGAACGUUGAAGACGACGACGUUGAUAGGCCGGGUGUGUAAGCGCAGCGAUGCGUUGAGCUAACCGGUACUAAUGAACCGUGAGG